CCAUCUUCCCCAUCUGCCUGAAGUGCUGCUGUCAAACGCAAAACUUUGCGUGUGGAGCUGAUGAAGCUGACGAUGGGCGAUGGGCGAUGGGCAAAAAUAGACACCUCAACAGAAACGAUAAGAACUCUUGCACGUUGUCGUGUGCUGGUUCCACAACGUCCUAAUUAGUUGAAUUCUAUGCAUUUUCUGCCAAAAGGUAAAGGCUGCGGCAAUGGCAAAGGCAAAAACUCUGCGCAAAGUUAAAGCAAAGUUUCGAUGUUGAUAAAAUGUGGCAAAUAAAAAGUUAUAAACUCUUUGUGGAUGCGGUCAAGCGAUAAUAUUGGCGUGAUUAUAAUGCCGGUGCCACAAUAUUGAGUAGUUAGUGCACUUUUAGACUUUGAUUAACAACUUUAAGAGGGGACUAGUUGAAACGGCAAAGAGCUCAAACAGAGAAUUUAAUACCCUGGCUACAAAUUGUUUCGAAAUAUGCCGCUUUUCUAGUAAAAAACUAAAGAUAAAAAUUAAAUUUUAAAUAUUGAUAAAUACAUAUUAAUGUAAAUU